rnacentral:rRNA from 1 species
UACGUAAGUGGCUAGCGUUGUCCGGAUUUACUGGGCGUAAAGAGCGCGCAGGCGGUCGUUCAAGUCGAGUGUGAAAGCCCCCGGCUCAACUGGGGAGGGUCACUCGAUACUGAUCGACUCGAAGGCAGGAGAGGGAAGCGGAAUUCCCGGUGUAGUGGUGAAAUGCGUAGAUAUCGGGAGGAACACCAGUGGCGAAGGCGGCUUUCUGGCCUGUUCUUGACGCUGAGGCGCGAAAGCUAGGGUAGCAAACGGG